CAGUGGGGGCCCCCCGGGCCCCUGCCGAGAUAGCACCCCUCGUCUUUUCCGAGCACCCAACGUUUCCUCGGCGGGCCCGCCCGCCAACGGGGACCACAAACAAACCUUAAAACCGCAGUGUAAGCAGUACAAACCGUAUACAACCCAAAAAAAUCA
rnacentral:misc_RNA from 1 species